UAACGAAGCCAAAACAGACAAGGAAGCACAGGCCAGACGAACAGCCUGGAGAGGGUUAAGUUCAGCCAGUGGUAUUGACACAGCGUUUUCUUUCCAGACCACAGAGCUGCGCGCUGAUGCUAUCUCUGUAAUUCUUCGUGCAGCAUUCUCAAAGCCCCUUUAUUCAGAUCCUCAAUGCAGAAGCUCUACCACGCCAGCCACCUUCCUGUCAGGUGUCUGGUAAGCAGGUUAACUGAUCUGUCGAUUAGGAGCCGCCAGCCUACGUGCAGCGACUGGGGAACGCAGCCCUUCCCGGUGUCUGCCUUGCCAGCGCUAACUGCAAACCAGUGACGCAAACUGUCUCACGGAGAACCUCAUCAAGCACCUCGCCGAGAGUAGCCUAGGGCCGGGCCCCGCGGGCUCCCUUCCUCCCUCCUGGGACCCACUCCAGGAGCCUUGCCGCCUGUCUGGUGUAACUUGUCUGAAACCCAGGAGUCAAGACGAAGUCCUGAAGAAAGCACUUCAGACUGUUUCCAGGCCUCAAGAGAUAGCUAAACUUAUUAAUGCUGUCUCCCUUUUAUUGGAUGUGUGCCUCAAAGAGCAUUUUUCUCACCCUAUUCAAUUAGUUACAAGUCUCUUCCCUUACGUUUAUGUAAUCUGAGCUAGGACCACUUGGGACUAGUGGCCUGACUGCCUCUCCCUGAACAGGGACCAGAGCAUUGCUGCCACUUGCCAGCUGACCCCAGGCCACUGCAGUCUAGCCUCAUUCGCUUGCUUCUAUCCUUCCCAGGGAGCUUCAUUUCUAGAGAAAGUUUCCUUUUCCACGCAGUUUAUGCGUCCCGAGGCCUGGGCCCACACUAACUUCUGUGUGAAAGUUGGUGUGCUGAGCUCAGGCCAAGGCCAAGCUCUGUUCUCGACAGACCCUCCAAGGUACAUAUUAAUAACCACCUGCCUAGUUCUCAUCAUGUGCUUUAUAAUGUCUUCUUUAAACCCUCAACAGCCUGUUUUAUGAUGGUCAAAAAAGCUUGGGAUAGGUGAGAUGGCUCAGUGGGCAACAGUACUUGUCUCUAAGCCAGACUAAACUUUGAUUUCCUGGAUACACGUGGAGGACCCCAUCAAGUUGUUCCCUGACCUGGGAGGAAACACAAAAGUCAGAUGUGAUCAAUUUAUUAUUAUUAUUAUUAUUAUUAUUAUUAUUAUUAUUAGUUUUUCCAGGUAGUUUCUUUCUGUAACCCUGGUUUGUUUUCUCUCUCUCUCUUUCUCUCUCUCUCU